ensembl:snRNA U6 U6 spliceosomal RNA
GUGCGCAAUUUGGCAGCACAUGCACUAAAAUUGGAACAAUGCAAAGAAGAUUAGCAUGACCCCUGCACAAGGAUGACAUGGAAAUUUGUGAAGCAUUCCAUAUUUAA